CAGGGAAGUUCUGCUGGAAGUGGGCGGGGCGCCUGCGACAGCUCCCCUGUCCAGCGCGCUGCUGUUGCUGGAAUCGGGUUGAUUCGGGCAGCACUGCAGAGCCUAGCACACACACUGAAGCCCCGAGGACACCGCUCCGCCCUGGGGAAAUGAAAGUAAACAGAAAUCACAGCGGCUGGACUGUGCAGCUACAAAGAGCUGUUGAACUUUGAUCAGGAAGGAGGAAGCCGAGUGCCAGGUGCACACACUCUGAGAGCGCCCGUCCCUAGCCGGAUGCCAUCACACACAGGAGAGGAAGCCAGAGACUAAAGGGAUUAGAUGAUUUUGGGAUGAUCACGCGCCCUGUGCGAGAUUGAGCCCACACAGAACUUGGUACUUCACUUUGAGCGUGCAGCCCUCAUCGCCCGUCAAGGGGUUUCUCUAUUCUGGUUCUGCCGCAACAGCCACGCACAGCUCACGUUUUCACAGGUGUUUCCUCGUUUUUACGGGUUUGUGAGAAAUUUAAGCACUGCUCUCAAUGGUGUCCAUUGCAGUAGUUCACGGUUCAGUAAAAGGAUCCCAACUGCAGGUCCACGGCCUUCAGCGCUGCCCAGGAGCCACACUGAAGCGAGGGGCCCUGCUUGCUGGCCCAGCGUCUCUUCCCGCGGGAAACUACCCUUGCUGCUUAGAAGCAGUUGGCCAUUCGGGGUGAUCUGGCAACAUCUGGAGACAGUUUCGGUUGUCACACGAAGCAGGAAGAUGGGGAGGCCUCUGACAUGCAGUGGGUAGAGACCAGGGGUUCUGCUAAACACCCCACAGUGCACCAGGUGGCCCCACAGCCAAGAAUGAUCCGGCCGAGAGUCUCAGUGCUGCCAAGCAGGAGAAAGUCUGCUCCAGCCUCGUUCGCCCAGGGGCCUGAGCCCACCACAAGGGCAGGUGCCGGGUCCCAGGUCUGGACACCUGGGGUCCCCCUCCUCCAGCACUUUUGCCAUAGAUAUUGGGGAAUGCAUUCUCUACUCCUCUGAGAUCAAAAACUUGAGGCCACCGGAAAUGUGAUGCUGGAAGCCUGAGGAUGAAGAUCAGGAAGAACAAGCAAGGGAAAGAAGAGGGAGAGAGAUCCAAAGAGGUGGGUUGUCACUGAGAAGUUCUAUAUUUGAUUGACUUGUAAUAAAUGUGUGUGCUCAUGGGGCACGAUGCAAUGUUUCAGUUCACAUCUGCAGACUGAAUCAGGCUCUGCCUGUUGGGCUUCUGAUCGGGAUGAGCCUGUAAAUUCCACUUCUGUAGGAGCUUUGCUUAACCUAGCAUGAGUUGUGUUUCCAUGAUAUUUCAGCAUGAGUCUUGGCAGAUGCUGGUGAAUGAAUAUUAUUAUUACUGUAAGAAACCCUUAAAUACAUCCUAACAAUUUUUAAAGCAUAUCUUUCAUCAAUGUCUAUACUUGGCUACUAUUAAUAAUAAAUAGCAAUGCAGCCCAUUGAUCAAGAGUAAAAUCCCUUCCAUAUGUUUUUAAGCUAAGAUAGACCCAGAAUCGCCAAUUCAUUGUUAUUUUAGCUAAGAGAGUAGAGACAGAGAUAAGGUACUGAGGCUCCUAGAUGGAAUCAAAGACCCAGUACUUGGAAGAACUUGAGGAGUCAUGAACACUGACCGGAUCCCUGUUUCGGGGCUCAGAAUCAAGGCAAUCAAUGAGAGGCCACUCUGUGUCCCACUGGAGACUUGGCUGGGGCUUUGAAUCCUGUUGAGCCUUAGAAGCCCCUCUUCCAGGCCACACUGCAAGUUAUCCCCACUAAGGGUGAGGCAGCAUCUCCAACUCUAUGGAUCUGUGGGAGGGACCUCAGGCACAACAGCACAGACCCUCUGAAUCAAGGAGGUGGGACUGGAGGAGGACACACUGAGGCAUUUUGAAUGCAGGUGGACAGGGUACCAAACAACGCUACGGAGAGAGCUUCAGAGGUCUGCUAAGGACCCCUUGGAGGCCUCAGCUGAGUACCCACCAGCACCUGCACUGGGAGAACCUUCCCAACGCUGAGCAAAGAACUGGAACCAGCCGUUUGUCCCAGUCAUGGUGGGUCACGUUGUCUUGGAUUAUUAUUGGAGCACACGCCGCCUGCCUGGAUGAACUCACAAUUUCAGGGGCAUUAGGCUGAGCACUCCAAAGGCUCAACAGAGGAGAAUAAUGAGCCCUCGAUUGGCCACUUCUCUGAUCCUACCCAACACAGCUUAAAAGGAAGACCCUAAGGGCAGGCAUUUGGUCUAGAACUUGCCCUAUCAGAGUGCCUGGGUUCAAGUCCCAGUUCUGCACCUGAUUCCUACUCACGUGUACCGUGGGAAGCAAGGGUGAUGAUUUACAUGCUUGGGUCCCUGUCAGUCAUGUGGCUGUGCUUCCCAGCUCCUCGCUUCAGGCUGGCCCCGUCCCAGACAUUGUGAGCACUUGGGGAGUGAACCAGCAGUUAGAAGACCUCUUUCUCUCUCUCUCUCUUUCAAAAUAUUUUACAAAAUAAAGACUCUAAAAGAAUCAAACUUAGUCAGUUGUCCUAAACGCUUCCCAGACAGAACAGCUUAAGAAUAUUGAUAGAAACCUAACAACCUGCAUCCAGUGAGCUAAAACACACAGGGGCUUCAAAAAGUUCAUGGAAUAAGAAAAAGUUCAUGGAUGAGAGGGAAAAAAAUCUGUGUAUGGAUUUCAAUUUUUUUUGCACCAAACUAAACUUAGGUCUUCAAUCCAUUUUUCCAUGAACAUGUUGAAGUCCCCUUGCAUGUGAGCAUUUGUGAAUCAGAACAGCAGACCUCAGAAUUAUGAGCAAUUGUGAACCAUUUAUCCUUUAAGACACACAUUUUGGGAUAGUUUGUUUAAAAGCUAGAAAAAAAAAAAAAAAGCCUUGGCUGGCGCCGCGGCUCACUAGGCUAAUCCUCCGCCUUGCGGCGCCGGCACCCUGGGUUCUAGUCCCAGUCAGGGCGCCGGAUUCUGUCCUGGUUGCCCCUCUUCCAGGCCAGCUCUCUGCUGUGGCCCAGGAGUGCAGUGGAGGAUGGCCCAAGUCCUUGGUCCCUGCACCCGCAUGGAAGACCAGGAGAAGCACCUGGCUCCUGCCUUUGGAUCAGUGCGAUGUGCCGGCUGCGGCAGCCAUUGGAGGGUGAACCAACGGCAAAAAGGAAGACCUUUCUCUCUCUCUCUCUCUCUCUCUCUCUAUCCACUCUGCCUGUCAAAAAAAAAAAAAAAAAAAAAAAAAAAGAA